GAGAGAGAAAGAGAGAGAGAGAGACAGACAGAGAGGAGAAGGAGAACUAGACAGAAAGAGGCAGACGAGGAAAAAAGACUUUCUUUUUCUUUCUAGAGGAAUUCUGCCCAGACCCAGCAGCAGUUGGUAGCAAGCAAGCUUUCUCCUGGGUGUCUCCUGGAAAAGUUGCAAAAUUGCUCUUCACCUGUAAGAACAUGCUCUUUAUCUUCCAGUCUCUUCUUGUCAAUUUGGAAACUGCAGACAGCCUGGCUCAGAAGAGAAGACUUGGGGUUCAGAGCCGCCCCCCCUCUCCUGCAGUGGAAAUGGACUUCCCUCGGGUCGAGUACAGAACUUCCCACACAGGCGGGUGGGUGAGUGCCCUUGGCGUUGCCCUCAUUGAUCCGGCUGGACACCAGAAACAGAUAAUCUGGUGAGCAGCUGAGGCACAGACUACCUGGGCUCCCACUUAGAGGCUGAUAUAGGACUGAAGAAGCAGCUGCUCUGUCAAACCUAGAGAUCUUGAACCUGAGGGCUGUGGACAUAUUCUUUGUAUCUUCCCUGCAGCUUGGCACCAGCAUCCAAAACCAUUCCUGUCACAUGCAGACAUUCUGUUGAAAAAGUAAAUGCACGGAUGGUGUCCUGGAAGCACUCUAUGAUUAUCCCUGGUAAUUUGCUUGUCCUAAGAUCAAUGCUUAAACAACAGCACAUGAACUAGAUAACAACUCCACAGUUAUUUGUAUCAGGCAUCAGAAAAAUCUUUCUGGGAGCCUUGAAACGAGGACACCACUAUCUUAGGACUUCUAAAAGUGAAGACCAAACACAAUUUAAAUAAAAAGAUAUGUCAUAAAAGACGUACAUCAACCUCAGUAAUUAGAAUUGGAAUUCAAAGUGAAUCAAUUAAAAAAUUUCACAAAGCCUGCAUGGAAAACUGCACACUGCCCCUUUUUCAAGCUGUCCAACACUUAGGUUGCUUUGUUUCAAGUAGAAAUGGAGUGAAAAUAUGGCAGUGGGAGGAGCUACGGCACAGAAACCCAAGUCAGAAAUUGCUAACUACUGAGUCAAGCUGGUUGAUAAGAAAGCCACAGGUGCUGUACAACUUUCCGUUUAUAACCAUAGGAAGAAAAAAAUUUCAUCUCUUAAACUGAAACCUGAACAUUACUGACUCAUUCAGAACAAUGUGUGAUCUUAACACAUGGCUUCUGUGCGUUUUAUAAACACACAAUUUCACAACUGAAAGCUUUCGGGGAUUCCAUUUGCUAUGCUGAGAGACUCCCUGGAUGGAGGGGUCCUGGAAAUGCCUGAGGAACUCCAAGCAAACAGGAAGUGUGGGCAGCGCUGCACCGUGAAGAAUUGCAAAGCACAGUGCCGCGUCUAUCACAGCCGCCCACCUGGGCACCACCCAACUUUGCACGAUCUGUUUGCUCAUGUUGCAAACACAAACAAAAUCGUGUAUAUUGUGUAGUCCACAGUUGUUCCUGGUCACUCUCUGGGUUACUAAGCCAAAUUGCAUAAUGUUUAUAUUUUGAAAUCACAAACUUGUACCUCGGAAGGGCUCAUAGAGCAUUUUAAUAAAUGGUCAGAGUAACGCCCGUAAAGGAAGUAGAGGAAGGAAUUGAUGGGCUCCUGACCAUCAAAGAAGAUAGGAGACACACUUGAAGGCAGCUCUCCCAGCCAGAAUAGAUUUACCUGAAGCUAAUGGGGCUGCACAUGUUGUAACCGCUUUAGAACACCCAGCCUGCACGGGGCCUUCCACGGGCAAGAGAGGGAGGAGCUAUUUUUUGAAAGUGCCUGUUGUUUUUUCCUAAAGAGGCUCCCAAAUGUAUGUGCUUCAGCCCUCCAAAACUUGAAUCCACGCAGCCUCUGCUUUCUCUAGCCUUUCUCUGAAAUUAUGGAAAAUUCUUUUAUUAACCAUUUCAUAUAGAAAAACACUGGCAGAUACAGCGAUUUUGGGGGGCACCUUUAUGGGGCCUAGCACAGAGCCCUCCACAUUGCUGGGCUCAGUGUUCAUUUGAUAUAAAACAUUAAAUAAGUAAAAACAAAGCAUAUGGCUCGUGUGUGUGUGUGUGUGUGUGUGUGUGUGUGUCUGAUACUCAUCUUGAAUGUUUGGCUUUAGAUGUUCAAGGUUUACCAAAAAAUGAAAACAUCAGUUUUACUCCAAAGACCUGUGUGGGAGUAAAUGAACGUUUAUCUAUGAGGACCAAUGAAAAGGGACUGAGGGAGAGCCCUGAGCUUUUGUUGGAAGACUCUGGGCAAGGGCUAAUAAAAUAAUUUCCUAUCUGUUCUUGUUAUUUAGCAUACAUACCUUUAUAUUUUGUUUUAUUCAUUAGCAAACUGAAAAUCUGUGACUUUUAGAGUGAGCUAUUAUAUAUUUCUACUCAAAUACCGCUUCAAUUAAAAUAGAUUUGCACAAACUACUUUGAAUGUGUUGCAAAGCUCAUUGCACAAAGUUGACUAAGUGGAGUCAGAAGUGAAAAAUUUUAAAUGGCAAUAGCGCAUGCGCGCGCGCGCACACGCGCGCGCACACACACACGCGCGCGCGCGCGCGCGCGCGCUCCUGGUGUCUGGAUUCUGAAAUUCAAUCUGAGAAGAAAUGAGUCUGCUGCGAGAAGGCCUAUAGUUCACUUCAAGUUAAACAGUCAAUCCAAGGGCUUUCAGGUGAGGCCUCUAAGUGAUGUGUGGAAAAUUCUCAAAAUAAUCAAUUUCUUACAGAUGGUCUGUAAAUGUCCUCAUUACAUGAAGCAAGCUGCAGUGUCUACCAGCCCCUACAGUCUGUGCCCAACGCCCAUUUGUGCCCCUCUGAGUGGCUCACUUUUUAAGGCCUUAACAAUAAAACCUGACCCUCCAG
rnacentral:lncRNA from 1 species